ACCUCGUUAGGUGAGGCUCCUAUAGGGAGAUACGUUACUGCCCAGAAACGUCGAGAGACACCAAUGGGUUAGCAGAGAAAAUCGAAUUAAGGUUUCUUUAAUGUAACUGGUUAAAUGGAGCAUUAACCGGCCCUAUAGUGCUAAAACUUUACGAAGGGGG
rnacentral:sRNA from 1 species